rnacentral:rRNA from 1 species
GUUGGUGAGGUAAUGGCUCACCAAGGCGACGACGGGUAGCCGGCCUGAGAGGGUGACCGGCCACACUGGGACUGAGACACGGCCCAGACUCCUACGGGAGGCAGCAGUGGGGAAUAUUGCACAAUGGGCGCAAGCCUGAUGCAGCGACGCCGCGUGAGGGAUGACGGCCUUCGGUUGUAACCUCUUCAGUAGGAGAAGCGAAAGUGACGGUACCUGAGGAUAAGCAUCGGCUAACUCCGUG